UAGGGAAUCUUCGGCAAUGGACGAAAGUCUGACCGAGCAACGCCGCGUGAGUGAAGAAGGUUUUCGGAUCGUAAAACUCUGUUGUUAGAGAAGAACAAGGACGUUAGUAACUGAACGUCCCCUGACGGUAUCUAACCAGAAAGCCACGGCUAACUACGUGCCAGCAGCCGCGGUAAUACGCAGGUGGCAAGCGUUGUCCGGAUUUAUUGGGCGUAAAGCGAGCGCCGGCGGUUUCUUAAGUCUGAUGUGAAAGCCCCCGGCUCAACCGGGGAGGGUCAUUGGAAACUGGGAGACUUGAGUGCAGAAGAGGAGAGUGGAAUUCCAUGUGUAGCGGUGAAAUGCGUAGAUAUAUGGAGGAACACCAGUGGCGAAGGCGGCUCUCUGGUCUGUAACUGACGCUGAGGCUCGAAAGCGUGGGGAGCAAACAGG
rnacentral:rRNA from 1 species